rnacentral:tRNA from 1 species
GUUGCUAUAAUUUAAAAAAAAUACAGGUUUGUGGUGCCUGAAAUGUAAAUUUUACUAGCAACC